UACGGAGGGCGCAAGCGUUGUUCGGAAUCACUGGGCGUAAAGCGCGUGUAGGCGGCCGGGCAAGUCGGAUGUGAAAUCCCGAGGCUCAACCUCGGAACUGCAUUCGAAACUGCUCGGCUCGAGUCCCGGAGAGGAUGGCGGAAUUCCCGGUGUAGGGGUGAAAUCCGUAGAUAUCGGGAGGAACACCAGUGGCGAAGGUGGCCAUCUGGACGGUGACUGACGCUGAGACGCGAAAGCGUGGGGAGCAAACAGG
rnacentral:rRNA from 1 species